rnacentral:rRNA from 1 species
CUAGCGUUGUUCGGAAUUACUGGGCGUAAAGCGUUUGUAGGCGGUUAUACAAGUCAGAUGUGAAAUCCUGGGGCUCAACCUCAGAAUUGCAUUUGAAACUGUAUAGCUAGAGAAUGUUAGAGGAAAGUGGAAUUCCUAGUGUAGGAGUGAAAUCCGUAGAGAUUAGGAGGAAUAUCGAUGGCGAAGGCAGCUUUCUGGGACAUUUCUGACGCUGAGAAACGAAAGCGUGGGUAGCAAACAGG